rnacentral:rRNA from 1 species
AGCGAACGCUGGCGGCAGGCCUAACACAUGCAAGUCGAACGAUCCCUUCGGGGCUAGUGGCGGACGGGUGAGUAACACGUGGGAACGUACCCUUAGGUUCGGAACAACAUAGGGAAACUUGUGCUAAUGCCGAAUGUGCCCUUCGGGGGAAAGAUUUAUCGCCUUUGGAGCGGCCCGCGUCUGAUUAGCUAGUUGGUGAGGUAAAGGCUCACCAAGGCUACGAUCAGUAGCUGGUCUGAGAGGAUGAUCAGCCACACUGGGACUGAGACACGGCCCAGACUCCUACGGGAGGCAGCAGUGGGGAAUCUUGCGCAAUGGGCGAAAGCCUGACGCAGCCAUGCCGCGUGAAUGAUGAAGGUCUUAGGAUUGUAAAAUUCUUUCACCGGGGAAGAUAAUGACUGUAGCCGGAGAAGAAGCCCCGGCUAACUUCGUGCCAGCCGCCGCCGUAAUAC